rnacentral:rRNA from 1 species
UACGUAGGGUGCAAGCGUUAAUCGGAAUUACUGGGCGUAAAGCGUGCGCAGGCGGUUAUGUAAGACAGAUGUGAAAUGCCCGGGCUUAACCUGGGAACUGCAUUUGUGACUGCAUGGCUAGAGUUUGGCAGAGGGGGGUAGAAUUCCACGUGUAGCAGUGAAAUGCGUAGAGAUGUGGAGGAACACCGAUGGCGAAGGCAGCCCCCUGGGCUAACACUGACGCUCAUGCACGAAAGCGUGGGGAGCAAACAGG